rnacentral:misc_RNA from 1 species
CUCUAGAUAGUUUCGCUGCGGUGCCGCUUGGCGACAGAAGAAUUCGGCAAAAACGUGUAAAAUAACAAAAAAAAAUUGUUAGAAAAUUUAUAGAAAUAAACAAAAUAUUACUUAAUUUAUAAUAAAUAAACUAAAUUAAAUAAAUUAGUAGUGAAUUUCUAAUAGAAGACAUUAAAAAUGGUGGACGCCGCACGACAAAUGUUAGAUGAAUUGAUGGGUAGAAACAGAAAUUUACAUCCAUCGGAAGCUCCCAAAUCGGUAAACUGGGAAGAUCCUGAUUUGUGUCAAUAUCAUUUAGUGAAAUUUUGUCCGCAUGAAUUAUUCGUUAAUACUCGAGCAGAUUUAGGACCUUGUGGUCGUAUACACGACGAUGAAGCCAAACAAAAGUAUGCAGAAGCCAGACCGACAUCGCGCAAAAGGCAAUAUGAAGAUGAAUUUUUAUAUUUUUGUAAUUCUAUGUUAAAUGAUGUUGAUCGUAAAAUACAGAAGGGCAGACAACGUUUGGCCUUAAUGCAAAGGGACCAGCCAGCCCAGUCGCAUGUCUCCAAGUACCGUGAACAGUUGAACAAUUUAAAUGCCCGUAUCAAAAAGUUGGUAGCAGAGGCCGAAGAAGCUGGUACACGCGGUGAUGUGGAUCAGGCCCAAGAUCUAAUGGUACUCUGUGAACAAUUGAAAGAGGAAAGAGAUACUAUGGUGACACAAUAUGAAAAUAAUAUGUCAAAUAAUAAAGAUGAAAAGCCUUCUUCGAUUGAAACAACAACAAAGCCGGUCAGCAUUGUUGAAGGUUCUCCAUCGUCACAGAACAAUACAGAGGAAGGUGGUAAAUCACCGCGCAGUGAUGAUGACACAGCGUCCAGUCUGGCUGGGGACAAGAAAUUGAAUGCUUGGAUGCAAGAUAUGGGUCAUAUGCCGGAAAAACAAAUGGAGGUAUGCGAAGUUUGUGGUGCUUUUCUCAUUGUAGGAGAUGCCCAACAGCGUAUUGAGGACCAUUUGAUGGGUAAACAACAUUUAGGUUAUUCUAAGUUACGCAAAGCCGUCGAGGAAAUUCACGAGCAACGUCAAAAGGAACGUGAAGUAGAUGAUCGAUCAAGAAGACGUGAUGAUCGCUCAUCAUCACAUCGCAGUUUUGAUAUGGAGCGAAGACGUGAUCGCGAACGUGAAUAUCGUGGACGUUCCCGUGAACAUGGUAGCAGUCACCACCAUGCCGGUGAAAGACACCGCCAUCAUCAUAAAUCUCAUCAUCGGCGCCGUUCUCAUUCACGUAGCCGCAGUCAUCGUAGCAGUCGUGAUCGUUAUAGUCGCAGCCGUAGCCGUAGUCGUUAUUAAAGCAUAGAGGAACACAUGCAGAUCCCCCCCUUUCCUAACGUCAUAUUAUGAACAUAUACAUAUAAAACCAACUAGAGGUACACUUCCCUUAACUUUAUUUAAAAAAAACCUAAAUGAUUUCAAAAAAAAAUCAUAAAAAAAAAACAAUUUUAACAAUACAAUUUAAAAAAAUUAAACCACAGAAAAAGUCAUAACGAUCUUACUACAUAAAACAAGUUGGAAAACAUCAAAAAGUGUAACAGGACACCAAGACUGCUAGCAAUCACCAACAAACAAACACUGCAGCUAAACGUUAAUGUGACACACAAAAAAAAAAUAAUAAAAGGCAGACAAACUCUACUCUCACAGGUAACUUUCUCUACAACAAACUGUAACAACCUGAAGAAAUUUUUCUCUCUUAAAUUAAUAUUAAUAAUAAAAAGAAUAGUGAAACAACGAAUUAUGUAAAAUCUACACAUAAUAUAGAAAAAAAGGAAUGUUAAUUUUUAUUCUGCAUUAAACUAAAAAUUAAUUUUAAAGGCAACAUAAAUCAGGAAUGGAUUAAAAUCACGCUAAACACAUAAACGAGGUGAUUUUUUUUAUUAUUUUUUUCAUAUUUUUUUUAAUUAUAUAUGUAUUUAUUAUUAUUAAUAAUAUUAUUUCAUCUAUUGGCAAUUAUAUACUGUUAUUGAGAUUAUAAAGAAAUAAUUUAUAUAAAAAAAACAAGAAUAUAAGCAG